CAAGAAAUAGUUUAAUUAUAAAAUAUUAAUUUUGGAGAUUAAUGAUAAAGGUUUUCUUUUUUCUUGA
rnacentral:tRNA from 1 species